rnacentral:rRNA from 1 species
CCUACGGGAGGCAGCAGUAGGGAAUCUUUCACAAUGGGCGAAAGCCUGAUGGAGCAACGCCGCGUGCAGGAUGAAGGCCUUCGGGUUGUAAACUGCUUUUAUAAGCGAGAAAUAUGAUGGUAACUUAUGAAUAAGGAUCGGCUAACUACGUGCCAGCAGCCGCGGUCAUACGUAGGAUCCGAGCAUUAUCCGGAGUGACUGGGUGUAAAGAGUUGCGUAGGUGGCAUAAUAAGUAGCUAGUGAAAUCUGGUGGCUCAACCAUUCAGACUAUUAGCUAAACUGUUAAGCUCGAGACCGUUAGGGGUAACUGGAAUUUCGAGUGUAGGAGUGAAAUCCGUAGAUAUUAGAAGGAACACCAAUAGCGUAGGCAGGUUGCUGGGACGGUUCUGACACUAAGGCACGAAAGCGUAGGGAACAAACGGGAUUAGAUACCCCAGUAGUC